rnacentral:rRNA from 1 species
UACGUAGGUGGCAAGCGUUGUCCGGAUUUAUUGGGUUUAAAGUGUGCGCAGGCGGCUCCGCAAGUCGAGUGUGAAAUCCCCGAGCUUAACUUGGGAAUUGCAUUUGUGACUGCACGGCUAGAAUCUGGCAGAGGGGGGUAGAAUUCCACGUGUAGCAGUGAAAUGCGUAGAGAUGUGGAGGAACACCAGUGGCGAAGGCGACUUUCUGGGCUGUAACUGACGCUGAGGCGCGAAAGCGUGGGGAGCAAACAGG